rnacentral:rRNA from 1 species
AUGCUCACAAACGAUGUACAUCACAUUCUAGACUCCCGAGCUACACGCACACCCAACAACGAACAAUUGGAAUCAGUUGGCUUGUACAGAAGCCAAUCUGCAAGUACUAGAUACAGUUACAAGGACGAUGAAAAUUCAGAGUCUGUAGCAGGCCAAUCUCCCGAGCUCCAAGCCUGUCAUGUCCACAGCCCACGCGAGUCUGUUAUCAGGCACCCACAGGACGAGCACGCAGUGCAAGCCGACGGCGCGGAGGCUGCAGACGCCAGCAGCCUCGGCAUCAGGACCGGCCAGAGGAGGAUGUGCACGGCGGCGGCCACAGACCUUGGCUAG